UACGUAGGGGGCAAGCGUUGUCCGGAAUCAUUGGGCGUAAAGCGCGUGUAGGUGGCUCGUUAAGUCUGCUGUGAAAGCUCAGGGCUCAACCCUGAAAUGCCGGUGGAAACUGUCGAGCUAGAGUACGGAAGAGGUGAGUGGAAUUCCUGGUGUAGCGGUGAAAUGCGCAGAUAUCAGGAGGAACACCAAUUGCGAAGGCAGCUCGCUGGAACGUAACUGACGCUGAGACGCGAAAGCGUGGGGAGCAAACAGG
rnacentral:rRNA from 1 species